UCCAGGUUGGAGCUUAACAACAACAAAUUUUCUGGUGCAAUUCCUGUUGGGAUAUCUCGUUGGGUGAAUUUGAUUGUUUUUGAGGCAAGUAACAAUAUGUUUUCAGGUGAAAUUCCAGUGGAAGUGACCAGCCUGUCUCGUCUUAAUACUCUUAUCCUUGAUGGUAAUCAACUAUCAGGUCAACUUCCAACCAAGAUAAUCUCCUGGAAGUUACUGAUUACUCUAAAUAUCUCAAGAAAUGCACUUUCAGGCCAAAUCCCAGCAGUGAUGGGGUCUAUACCUGUCCUACUUUACUUGGACUUAUCUCAAAACCAUUUCUCUGGCAAAAUUCCAUCCGAGUUAGGCCAACUGAAGCUUCUAGUACUCAAUUUGUCCUCCAAUCAACUUUCUGGG
rnacentral:misc_RNA from 1 species